rnacentral:rRNA from 1 species
GAUGAACGCUGGCGGCGUGCCUAAUACAUGCAAGUCGAGCGAAUGGAUUAAGAGCUUGCUCUUAUGAAGUUAGCGGCGGACGGGUGAGUAACACGUGGGCAACCUGCCCAUAAGACUGGGAUAACUCCGGGAAACCGGGGCUCAUACCGGAUAAUAUUUUGAACCGCAUGGUUCGAAAUUGAAAGGCGGCAUAGGCGUUCAGUUAUGGGUGGACCGGCGUCGCAUUAGCUAGUUGGUGAGGUAACGGCUCAGCAAGGCAACGAUGCGUAGCCGACCUGAGAGGGUGCUCGGCCACACUGGGACUGAGACACGGCCCAGACUCCUACGGGAGGCAGCAGUAGGGAAUUUUCCGCAAUGGACGAAAGUCUGACGGAGCAACGCCGCGUGAGUGAUGAAGGCUUUCGGGUCGUAAAACUCUGUUGUUAGGGAAGAACAAGUGCUAGUUGAAUAAGCUGGCACCUUGACGGUACCUAACCAGAAAGCCACGGCUAACUACGUGCCAGCCGCCGCGGUAA